UCCGCGGGCGGGGGCCGAGCGCGUGUGUGCUCGAGAGCGACGGGCGGCGGCGGGAGGAGGCGCAGGCGCGCUGUUCGCCCGUCUGCAGCCCCGCGCCGAGCGCCGCGUCUCGGGGAGUUGAUGGCAGCACCACAGUGCGGCCGCCCGGCCGUGCGCCGAGCGCAGCCAGCAGCCGCUGCCCUGGGAGCGUCCAAGAUGUGGUGGGAUCGGGGCGGCCGCAGCGGCGCCAGGGACCGGGGCGCGCAGCAGGCUCCGCUCGCCCGCCUGUGCUGACCUGCCUCACUUGCCCCAAAGAAUGUCAGCCAAGUCCAAGGGGACCCCCUCCUCGUCCUCUCCAGCCGAGGGACCGCCGGCAGCCUCCAAAACCAAGGUGAAGGAACAGAUCAAGAUCAUCGUGGAGGAUCUGGAAUUAGUCCUGGGCGACCUGAAGGACGUGGCCAAGGAACUUAAGGAGGUGGUUGACCAGAUUGAUACCCUGACCUCUGACCUACAGCUGGAGGAUGAGAUGACUGACAGCUCCAAAACGGACACCCUCAAUAGUAGCUCCAGCGGCACGACAGCCUCCAGCAUAGAGAAGAUCAAAGUGCAGGCCAAUGCCCCUCUCAUUAAACCCCCAGCCCACCCAUCUGCUAUCCUCACGGUCCUGAGAAAGCCCAACCCUCCGCCACCUCCUCCGCGGCUGACACCUGUGAAGUGUGAAGACCCCCAACGGGUGGUGCCCGCUGUCAACCCGGUCAAGACCAACGGCACCCUUGUGCGAAAUGGAGGCUUCCCAGGGGCACCAAACAAAAUUCCAAACGGAGACAUCUGCUGCAAACCCAGCAGUCGCUUGGACAAGGCUCCGGUGCAGGCUCUGAUGCAUAGACCUGAGAAAGACAGGUGCCCCCCAGCAGGGCCGCGGGAACGAGUUCGGUUUAAUGAAAAAGUGCAGUACCAUGGCUAUUGCCCUGACUGUGACACCCGGUAUAACAUCAGAAACAGGGAGGUCCACUUGCACAGCGAGCCCGUCCACCCGCCAGGAAAGCUCCCUCCCCAAGGCCCUCCCCACCCUCCGCCCUCACAUCUCCCUCCUUUCCCAGUAGAAAAUGGGGGGCUGGGAAUAAGCCACAGUAACAGCUUCCCCCCUCUCAGACCUGCAACUGUGCCUCCUCCCACUGCACCAAAACCGCAGAAGACGAUCUUGAGGAAAUCGACCACUACAACAGUGUGAUAUAUGCCAUUUAAAAAAAGACUUUUUCUUUUUUUUUAAUUUCUAUAUUAUAAACAUAAAAUAAUAAGUAAUGAGCACUUUCUACUCAAGCAAUAAAAAGCCCAAAUAUAUUUAUCCUGCAUUCAGCAAAGUGGCAUAAAAAUCACCUGAUCACACUUACCAAUGGACAAAAGUUCACUUCUUAACUACCAUGAUUUGGACCGAUCAUAUGAUUUGCCCUGGAGUUAGAAAUGAGUCGACUGCCUUAGAAUCGUGAUGACAGGUGCGUGCCUGAGCAAAAUGUGUUCCUGAAGUGGCAGGAGUAGAGGGAGUCAUCUUUGGUGGAGAUGUGAUUAUUCUGCAUCUUAAAAAAAAGAGUCCUGUAAUAUUUUUGAACAUUUGGCUUUCAAUCUCAAAACUUUAAUUUUCACUGCUAUAGGAAGUUAGUUUUCAAUUGUAUUUCCUUUUUGCCUUUUUCAAGCUAUAUUAUCAUAAUUUGGUAUGCUGUUUUUAAACAACUUCUUAGUAAAAGAUGCUAAUAUAUUUUAGGCAUAAUGCCAUAAGGAAAAUAGGUUUAUUUUUAAAGAAACAAUCAAACAAGUAAAAAAUAGAGACAUCAUGUUGAAAAUUUACUCAGCAUGAUUUUUGUUCUGUGUGUGUUGGACUUGAUGAUAAUGCAAGGCAGAAUAUAUCCGACUUGUCAGAAAGUUACAAAACAUAAGACCAGUAAUCAAGAAAGGCCCUAAUCUAAAAUGUAUUAACUAUAUAUCACUAUGUUUAAUAAAUAUGAGCCAGGUAGAUAAAUAAUUGACUCAUUGAAUACCAAAAUAAUAUGUAUAUUCUCAACAUUUUAAUGCAUUCAUUUAGGCUUGUUAUAAACAAACUUGGGGUUUCAUCACUUUUCUAGAUUUAAAUAAUUACUUCCUUUCAAAUAUCCAUCCAGUGUAAGAAGUUUUGAUAUUACAAAUGAUGUUAGAAGACAUACAGUUUUCUCCCUUUGGCCCACCUUCCUUUCACAGCCAGUUACUGUGAACUAAUAAUUACCUAAUAGUUUGAGACUUUGUCCCUUGUCAGUCUCUGGGAUCCAAUCUGGAUGUCAAGGUAGAGCUUACUAACAACCCAGAUCAUCCACAAAGCAGAUAACUCAUUUGCAAUAAAGCAAGCUGAGUAAGCUGGGCCAUCUAAGCUGGUUGAAUAAGGGCAUUUGAGCCAGAUGCCUAGACACAACCUCUGAGGUUCAAAUCUCUCUCUCCCUCAAGGUAGAGACAAAGCUACCCCAGGAAAGACCAUCUUUUUAUGUUUGAUUACUGACAUAUGCCAAAACCACAGCACCUUUUCUUUUUAACACAUUUAUACGUAACUGUGGGCCUAUAAAGCUGAAUUAAAUCCCCACCUAAAAAGCUACAGUUAUUGACCUUCUUCUCUUAUUACAGUUUGUUUAUUACAUAGUCAACAUUAAAUGUUAGAUUACAGCAGUGUUGGGACUUUUUAAAAUUUUAUUUGCUCCAUAUGUUACUUUUUUUUUCUCUAAUGUAUGGAAUAUAUUGGGCCAAUAGGUUUUUUUGGCCCAAUUGAUAAUUUUGCAACGUUCAGUGGAACCUAGUCAUGUCUUUAAAUAUACAUAAACUUGUAAAACAUGGAAAGCAAUUAACAUAGAGUGUCAUAAUAUUUGCCUGGAAACUUGUAAUUAAAGUGUCAUAAGUGGCAGUGCAGUUUUUGUCAUCAGCCAGCAUUACUUUCAAAAUUUAAAUUCUGAAGUGCAAGCUCUGCACAAGGUUCAUUUAACCAUCAUAAAGCACAGUCUGUCUGUCCUUUUCCUGAAGAUACCAAGGCAGAAAUGCUUUUUAUCAGAUCCUUAAAGGCAGGUUGUUUUCUGGCAAUAUGAUUUAAUUCUUUUAUUCACACGGAGAGAGUACCUAAGAGCUGGCCUUCAUCCUCCUUUGAUGGUGAUGUUCCUACAAAAUGUAAAAUAGUCGUACUGCUUAUGACGACAUCCACUCACAGUGAAAGGGAGCCUAUGGUUCAAAAAACAUGGUGGCCGUGAAUUAAACUGGAAUAGGAAAGAUUUUGUCCUAUUAAUUUAAACACAGAUUGUCCCAUUUUUUGUGAUGAAAGGUUAUUGUAUCUCCACUGAUGAAAGGUGAAAAGUGACUAAAACUUGCCCAAAGUUAUCUCCCAUCUCUCAGUAGCUAUAGCAGUUAUAAAAGGAAAUAAAACUGAUAAUUUUUAGGCCAUGCUUAAGCUAAAUAUAAAGCAUCUGCUCAAAAGCACAGGGCAUGCGAGAGAAAUUUCCCAGUCUUCAAUUUAAUGUUAUGUUCAUACCUCCUUUCGUUAGUUUAAUAAUAGCCUAUGGGGAAAAAAGAAGUCUGCUAUUAACUGAAGUGGUUUAAUUAACCUAAAAAAGCUUGUGUUUGAGUUAUGCCUGCAUCAGAGUAUUUAAUGAAUAAAGGAAUAAGGCACUGUAUUAUAUGGCUUCCUUUGGACAGAUCAGUCGUUGCUUUUAACAGAACCAAGAGCAGUAGCUACACACAGCUUCUGAAACUAUGGAAGACCUUGUAUCUACAGAUUCUAAUUAUAGCUCUUUUUGGAUGCUCCGUGAAGAAAAGCUUGAGUAGUUCCACAUGUAAUUGCACUUGGAAUGGUGUAAUCAAGUCAUGAAUCCCUGCCUUGACUGAACUUUUUUCCUGUGGAGUAUAGGCGUUAAUGUAACGGCAAGUCUUGUAAAUUGUCCUGAUUCAGUUUCUUUCCCUAGAUUCUCGGUUGGUAGCACAUUCUGCUAUCAUGUACACUCAGAUGUGUAGCAAAAGAUUGCAUUGUAAUGUGCAUUGGUAUGUACUUAUGAUUUCUAAGUGAGGAAAUGAUUUAUGAGCAUUAAAAUUCCACAUCACAUAGUUAGGCAGAAUGCACAGAAUCUGGCAAUUACUAGACAUGAUUGCAAAAUCACACGACAUUUCUGGGUCAAUGUGGAACCAGGACACGGGAUUCAAAUUUUCAGAUUAAAUGUUUUGGAGCUUUAGAAUCGUUCAGUCCCCUGAUACUGAAAUAAUGACAGGUGAGAUGCUAUCAUUAGGGCCAGCAGCAGUGUUGAACAUAAAACCACAUUAGCCAUGUCUUCGUGGAGGAUCAAUUAUGUAGGGUGUCAUUUCAUUGAAGGCGCUUGGAUUUAUCAUUCUGCUCUUUUUGGAAAAAACUAAAGUGGAUCAUAAAGAAGCUCUGCAAGUAACCCUCUCUUGAAAAUGUAGUUAAAUCGACGUGGGAUAUAGAAUUAAGUGAAGGCCAAGGGAAAAUACUUAGGAAAUAUUGCUUAUGAUUUAUGACUUCUAGAGUGAUGAAAGACAGGUAAACUAAUAUUUUUGACUGCUUUCUGAAACUUUACAUACAUUAGUUUUUCUAAGGCUCAUAUGAUGCAUAAAAUAGAUAUUAUCCUGAUUUACAAACUGAAGAAAUCCAGGACCUCAGUUUCAGUUUUUUGCCAAAACUGACCCCUUAAGUUACUGCUUGGUGUUUUCGUGUCAGCAUGGCAUCCCGUGAUUUUUUCCCCACAACACCACCAUUUAAUUGUGUUCUUCAUAGCCCUGAACUUUGCAGAUCUUUCCUUUUUUCUGAGGAGUUAUUUUGACGGUUGAAAGGGGUUACCUAAUGUUAUUUUGACAUUCUUAAUAUGUUUGAUCUUUGCAGAAUGUGAAGGGAUUUCAGGCAAUUUAGCAAGCGUCAAACAUGAAUGAGCUGUUGAAUAAUGCAAGCCUCAUUUUCUCAUGUAUUGUAUCAGAGGCUUCACCUUUCUAUUUUUUUCCCUUAAGUUCAAAGGCUGUCUAUUAUUUUGGAUUUUUUUUCCUCAGAAGUUCUGAUUUCACAGUAUUAAUGUCAUUUGACAGUAACUGUGUUGCUUCCAUUACUGGUAUUUCAUCUGUGAGUUUCCUCUAUUUAACAUUGACCCCUACAGCUAAAAAUAGCAAUAGAUCCACUCUGUGGAACCACUGAAGAACCAGUGCAUUAGAACGUGAGUAAAAGCUUUUCCAUCCUUUUGUUAUUAUAGAUAUGAUUUUUCCACUACUUGUUAAUGUAGUUGUCAAUUCUUCUAACCACCAAAGGGAAUUUUGAAUCAGUGAAAUGAAACAGUGUGCCCGUGGGUAGGUUAGAGAUGAUGUUGACCAUACAAGAGAUCUAACCCUUACCAAGGGCUUGCUUUGUGCCACACAUUCUUCUAUGUGUUUGAAUGUGUUAUUUUUCCUUCAUAGCAUCAUUUUUCCCUCCUAACACCCAGUGUUUUGCACACUAUUAUUAUCUACAUUUUACAAAUGAGGAAAUUGUCACUGAGACCUGCCACUCAAGGUCAUAGAGCCAGGAAGUGGUCAAGCCAGGACUGUAAGGCAGGCAGGCAGCUUCCACAGCCCGUGUUCUCUCCACUGCCUUUCGGAACUGCCCAAAGCACGACCCCUGCCUAAUGCCCAGGUCAUCUGUAGAGCUUACAGUCAUUUCACUGAAACAUGCUUGAAGAGGUUUUUGGAAGAAAUUUUUUUUAAUGUCUAUUUCUGUAUAAGUCAAGGUGUGGUAGCAAACAACUCCGGUUUCUCAGAGGCAUCCGAGUUAUUUCCUGCUCACCCUAAGCUUACUGUGAGUCCAGGAGACUCUCCAGGGCAGGUGUCCUUCAUUCAGCAAUAAAGGCUGUGUGGAAUGUGUGCCUCUACCACCUGGCCGUGUGUCCUCCUCCAGAACCGCUACAACGGAGGAUUGGGAGACUGGAGAAUCUUACCAUGUUUUUAACUCAGCCUUUUAUUCAUGUCGUUGGCCAAGAGUCACAUGGCCCUUCCCGCAGUCCCUUCAGGGAGGAGAAGGAGAUCCGCACAUGGGUGAGUACCAGUUAUGCCUACCAUGGUUCCCAAAGGAGUCAUUUUUUUGGUAUGUAUAUAAUUUGAAUACGUUAUAGGCCUCCUUUCUUUCCUUUUCAUAUUACUUGAUACUUGUUUUAAUCUCACUGUAAAUUAUAGAUGUCAUCUUAGUUUAAACAAAGAUGGAGAAAAGAAAUGAAUCUAACAUCUGACUUGCUAAAAAUGUAGUGGAGGGAAUUGACAACAUUCAUUGAAGGUGAGGGGUGAAUUUUAUCACAGCCUUUAGCUACCAUAUUUGAAUUCUAUCUGAGGCUACGCACCAACCUAUGUUUUUUAGUUAAGUGUUUGAGAAUUGCAUACUAGAUUUUCUUUAGUUAAAUUUCCGAGUGAAGAUGUUUUCAGUAAAUUAGGUUACUAUAUGAAUAAACCUUAUCUGAAGACACGUACUUAUCUAGAAUAGUCGAAAAAAAAUGAAACUCUACUACAGAAAUUUGCCAUUGAUAAAGUAAAUUAUGACAUGUGUAUUUAUAAUAUGAACUUAGAGGGCAGUAUAUUAGGAUAAAAGUGUAAGUUUGAAAUGAGAAGUCCUGGAUUUGAGUCUCAAUUUUCUCAUCUCUCAUGUGUUCCUGGUCAAAUUGCUUGAUCUGGCCUGAGUUUGCUUUAAGAUGAACAUAAUGGUGCCACUGUUCUCUAGCUAAUAGUGUUCCUGAGUCACUGUCCUCCCCUUGCAUUUUCUGGGCUCACCAAAUCCUCUGUUACAAAGGAUCUGCAAUGCGGAUAAGCAGCUUCAGGAUUCAGCAAGUCUGUAACCUUUGGAGCAAUUGAAUAGGCACAGUCACCAAAUGGUUCCACCUUACGUUUUGCAUAUGUCAGAAACACCUCCCACUCCUCCUUGUAGCACCCUCCAGGCUGGAACUAAGGAGCCUGUGUACGGCAGUGUAGCUAAGUACUGUUUACUCCGUGACUUGUUUUCAGUUCCAUUGUAUUAUUUGCAUGGGAAGAGAGCUCUGCUGACACACUGCGUCACACACAUUGCAGUUCAGGCAUGACUUCUGCUUUGUUUAUUUGCUCAAACUCCCACUAUUUUUUGGCUCAUCUCUCUCUUGUCACAAAAAUAGAAAUGUCAUGCAUUUCCCCUACCUUAGUUUGUCUAUACCUUCACAGGGUACUUGUUCCCCAAAGUGCCAGGUUUCAAGCACUGUGUUUCUACUGUAGCAACACUGGUACACUAACCAUUCCCUACUACCAUGCAGUGUCCUGACCUUUAUUACCUCCUCUAAAGGAUACCACCUUCCAACUUGUUAUAAGGCCCUAAGGAUUUAAUGAAUGUGAAAGUACUUCACUAACAGGAAAACCUCAUAAAAUGCAGUUCAUUGUCAUCAGUUUAUGGUAUUUCUUACCCAUGUUCCUCGUUAAUCUGGUGGAUUUGUGUAUGCCUACGUUGAUGCUAAUGAUAUUUAUUCAUCUCAUUUAUAAAGUAAUUAUUUUACAUAGUUUUAUUAGUUACUAUUAUUAAGCCUAAUGAUUUUCUUAGAACCUUGCCAGUUCAUAUGUAGAACUCUCAUUGAUUUAAAAGAUUUUGUGAAUUAGUCAGAAAAUGAACAUGAUAGAAAUUCUAGGUGACUACAACAGAGAGCACAGUUUAUUAAACCGUUUUGACAAGUGUAGCUUAAUUUUAAUUAUUUAUGAUAAUAUUUAAUAGCACAUGAGUAAAUUCAUUUAGGAUAUAAUUUGUCAAGCUAAUAAAGUCUAAUGCCUCUAGGCCUUUAUAAAUCUCCUAAAAAUGUUUGUUCAAAUAAGGAAUUAAAUCAUCAAGAUUUUGUUUAAAAAAGGAAUGUCUGUGUUUGUGGUUAAAAACAUCAUUUGUCAGUGAUAUUAUUAAAAAUUGCCAAAGCAUUAACUAUAAUUUUGCUUUUAAACAAAGGCUGUGAUAUGCUUGAGUAUAUGUUUCAGUGAGGUACCUUUCAAAAGGACUAAGAACUGAAGCUUUUUGAUCACAGUGAUUUGUGGCUUAAGUGUAGGUAAAUUAAUAUUGCUAAUAACAGUCCAAAAUUAUAAUCUGAAAGUAUUAUUUUCUAAUAACUCAAACCACUCUUUCAGACAAAACCUGAAUAUUUGGAUUUAUUUUACCUUUCUCCAAAACUUCAUAGUUGUAUCAAAUAAUGUCUGCUUUUUGCUUGAUAUUUGAAAUACAGUACUGAUGUUCUAGGUUUGUUUUUUGUUUUUAAGAUGUCAUUUUCUGAGUGGAUUUAUUAUUUGUAAUACAGAGAAUUAAUAUUAAAAAUAGAUCCUCUAUAUGACUUGCCAAAGAUCUUCUGAUCAUCAAAGCUCCAGUUCUCAGUCAGAUUUAACUUCUGCAUCUCCCUUGUUCCUUUUAUCCAAAUAAUUUGAAUUUUUUUGCCAAGUCUUUUUUGUUUUUUGUAGUAACACCAUUCCCAAUCACACUAUCCUCAGAGAGGCUUUUAUCCCCUAAAUUCUGACAUUACAUUGCCACAUGCUUGUCACUCAAACGUUUGCCUGCACUUCCAGUCCAUUCUGCAGAUAUCCAACAGAGACAUUUUCCUUUCAUUUUCUCAUCUCAAUCCAGAAAUUUUGAAGGCUCAGAAUAAUCUGCUAUUUGAAAUUCUGAACUCUGGGCAUGGCAUUUCUAGGGAAAACUCUUCUAAGGCUGCUUUUACAAGGGCCCACUCUGGGGAGUUCAACACUAAUCAGACUGCUCCAGCCAAGGAGUCUAAAGGACUGACCCACUGCUGUGCCCUAUUCAGUUCCUAUUGCUGCGCCUUCCCUUGAACAUGUGGCCCCAACCUGAAAUAAUUUCUCCUCUCUAUUACAAGAGAGUAGGUUUUGUAAAUCAUGCUCUGUUGAUUUCAACUAUUUAUCUGAUUCCUUUCCUAACAAAUAAAAUAAAAUUUAAUGUAAAAAAAAAAACCCCACUGUGGUGGUAAAGUGGGUAAAACAUGGGUAAAAACAAAACUUGAAGAUGCAUAUGGAAAAAAUAUCUUAACUAUUAGUUAAAUAAAUAUGAAUUUAAGUGAAUAUUAUUUCUUAAAUUAACAUUAUACAAGGGUAUUUACCAUCUACUCUCACUAGCAAAAAAUCCAUAUGAUAUUAGAGUAGAAGAAAUUCACAAUAGUUAAAUCCAAUACCUUCACUUAAUGGGUUAGAAAAUUGACCUCUUAGGAGGACAAAGCAACUCAUGCAGAUCCAUGUACAGAAAUAUAAGUUUCCUCACUUGAUAAAAAAUUUAUUCCUAUUAAUUUAAAACAAGCAGAAGACAGAUUGCUACAUGUUGGUGUGAUCGGAACCUUGGCAGAGAAGGAGAAAUAAGCAAGAAAAUUUGAGCUAAUAAUGUAAAGUGUGAUCACAUAGAAGGUGCUGCGCAAAAAAAAAGGAAGGAAGGGAUGUGGAAAGAAAAUUGAAAUAAAGAAAGAAAUUAAAAUCUUGUACAUAAAAAUAGAGCUGAAUACAGUGGAAUAAAAUGAAGGCUAUGCACUUAAUAAUACGUGAAGGUUUGGUUGCACAUUUUACUAUUUAGACUAAGGUUAUGUAGCAUACUACUCUUUUAUUUGCCUUUCUUUUUAGUUUGAAGAUAUGCUCUCCUUUGACAACAAUGUAGGAAAAAGCCCUAUUUCCUCCCAGGGAUGCAGAUAGCUGAUAAAAGGGAUUUCUGAGUCAGGCAUGAUGUUUAAAUAUUCCUAUGAGGAUGCGGCUUUUAGUUAGGUUUAUAUUUCCUCUUUUGACUGCAUGCAUUUUAAGAGCCAUCUUAUCCUAAGCUCUAUCCACAUCACUACAGUGGUGUAGACGGGGACACGAACAAGCACUGUCAGCUGGCAAGGACCACAGUGCCAGAUUCAAAGAUAAACGAGGUGAAUACAGUUUGCGACUGGAAUUGUAUAGAUGGCUUUCUCCUUCAGCCACCCUAAACCUGUCUCCACUUACUGGAAUACAUGUACAAGUUGCAUGAGAUUUUUUCCUGAUGAGAAAACUCUAAUUAUUUUUCCAUGGUUAUGUUCAUCAUUUACAUCAAAUUUAUAUCCUCAGCCUAGAGAACCGAAGCCUCAUGGUGUUUUAUUUUCAGUAGAGUCCCUGUCAUAUGAACUGAGUAUAGGACGGUCUGUUGUUCUUGAUAAAAUCAGUUUGAUAAAGAUCAGCUGUGGUCUCAAUGCAUCUUUGGUGACUGACCGCAUGGAACGCACAAUCAGGUCUCCUUCAGGUUGGAAGGAAUACCUUUAUUUGGAGGCAUGUCAGUUCAUUUUUCUCACUUCAAAUUCAUCAUUAUGACUUCUUGAGGCCAGAUCUAAUUUUGCAGUAGCCAGGAACCUGUCCAUCUUGGAGCAGCAAGCCCCUCAACUCUGGAGCACAAAUGAUCACUGAUACAGUCUGCAUAAAAUCAUCUGCCUCUAGUUUGACAGCCAUGAGAAGAGCCCUGGGGGCAAAAAAAAGCCACAGCCUUAAAUCUCUUCACUCAGAAAUUACAAAGAAGAUUAAAAUAAAUAAAUAAAUGUAAAGGACUGAGCAAGCAAGCCUACAAAACAAACAAAAAACAAACAAAAAACAACCAAAAAAUAAAACUAACAAAACCCCAGCUUAUUUUACCAUGGAAAUAAACAUUCCUAGUUGUGAACCCAAGAAAAUUUAUAUUCAGUAAUUCAGCUAGUGAAUUAUAAAUUGAUUUAUCAUUUGGGAAGGUGAGUAUAGAAACAGAAGGUCUCUAUAGCUAGAACUACUCAGCAUUUCAAAAUACGUAGACAAAACAAAAACAAAAACAAAACUGAACAGAGGAACACUGCAGCAAUGAACAGUAUUAGGAUAGAAUGUUGCGGUUUGCAGAGAGAGAGAAUGUUUGCCGUUUUGUGUAUGACCUCAAAGCCAUAAGGGAAUAAGAGCAGUGUUUUCAAUUGCUUGAAAGUUUCUGCAUUCAAUCCUUCACCCCAUAUAGGUUGAGAGAGAGGGAGGUCAGUUCUUACUGAUUACUUCUCAGUGCUCUUCUACUAUUUGCACUGUCACUUCCAUUCAGGGUAAUGAUGUGUGCUGUUAUUUGCACAGAGGGUCCCUGGAGUUUUGAGACCACAACAGUUUCAUGUAGGAGUCCAAAAAGGAAAGAUUUAAGAAUUCUGCAGACAUUGAUUUCUCUGUCUUCUAUUAAAAGAAAAAAUCAGUUAUCUCAUAAAAAAGUGGACUCAUCUCAGAUUACAGAACAACUAUAGAAUAACAAUGAAAAAAGCAUCAAUGUGGUCAAAUGAAUGAAAAAGGGAUCAAAAGAUUUUUUUAGUGAAGAUCAUUUUAUAUCAUUAACAGCCAAGAAGUUACAAAUACAGUUAACUGUACACUAAACAUCUGUGUUGAACAUCUAUUUGUUCUCUUAAUUAAGAAAAUCAUUUGUAAUUUGUAUUUGACAUUUAAGAGUUUUUUAUAGCCAUUUAUCUAUGCUUCAUGGGAAAAUGUACCAAACAGCAUUUUCAGUUUAUUUUUCUAAAUAAAUGUGUUGUUUGUA